rnacentral:lncRNA from 1 species
UAAACUUUGCCACAAUAUGUGUCUGUGAUAAUGACACCGUGUACGGAGAACUUGUGUUUGUGUUCCAAUUAUCUAAUAAGAUCAUUUUAGUUCAGUUAAUAUAUCCAUGACCUUUUUACGGCGAAAAUACACAUUCCGUUCAUCUAUUAUUUCAAUAGUACACAAUACGUUAAUUUUAUUAGUUAAAAUACCCCUACAUUUAACGACAGACCAACUGAACUUUCAAAUUAAUGUGUUGGCAUCUUUUUACUUGGCCACAUGAUACUCUCGUCCAAAAAUAGAUCAAGUAAAACGAAAACUACAGGAAACCACACCUACAGCCGCCACCCUACCUUUUCCUCCUACUAAAAUAUAAGCCCUAAAAACAAUCAUUUUACAAAAAAAAAACGUCAAAACAACAGAAAAACGCCCUGAACAACUAUAAAAAUGCAGUUGGACGCGCCACUGUGUAGCAGCUCCAACAUCAUCUUGCUUCAGCCAUCUAAGCGACCCAUUUUUCUCCAGAUCUCAUUCUUCUAAAACCCUCAAAACCAGCUAUUAAAGCAAUUCCAUAACCCUGAUCUCACAGUUUCCUCCAACGAAACAACCACAAGAUACUGUAUUGGUAAAAUUUGGCUCCUAACGUCCCUACGCCAAGUAAUUACUUCUUCGGUAAGAAGAAGCCACCUACCUUUGUACUUUUUCUUUGAUUAUUUCGAGGAAGGUCUCCUACUAUAUAAAGGAGACCUUCAUAUUGUAAUGGGGACGUGUGUUAUUCUAAAUAAUACAACUCUCUUACUCUCUCUCUAUCUGUAGCAGAUACC